UUCGGAUUGAAGGCUGAAAUUCGCCUUCAUGAAGUCGGAAUUGCUGUAAUGGCAGGUCAGCAUACUGCCGUGAAUACGUUCCCGGGCCUUGUACACACCGCCCGUCACACCAUGAGAGUUGGAGAUACCCGAAGCCUAUGAGCUAACUUUUAGAGGCAGUAGUCGAAGGUAGAAUCAAUGAUUGGGGUGAAGUCGUAACAAGGUAUC
rnacentral:rRNA from 1 species